rnacentral:rRNA from 1 species
CCUACGGGUGGCAGCAGUGAGGAAUAUUGGUCAAUGGACGAGAGUCUGAACCAGCCAAGUAGCGUGAAGGAUGACUGCCCUAUGGGUUGUAAACUUCUUUUAUAUGGGAAUAAAAUGUUCCACGUGUGGGAUUUUGUAUGUACCAUAUGAAUAAGGAUCGGCUAACUCCGUGCCAGCAGCCGCGGUAAUACGGAGGAUCCGAGCGUUAUCCGGUUUUAUUGGGUUUAAAGGGAGCGUAGCUGGAUUGUUAAGUCAGUUGUGAAAGUUUGCGGCUCAACCGUAAAAUUGCAGUUGAAACUGGCAGUCUUGAGUACAGUAGAGGUGGGCGGAAUUCGUGGUGUAGCGGUGAAAUGCUUAGAUAUCACGAAGAACUCCGAUUGCGAAGGCAGUUCACUGGACUGCAACUGACACUGAGGCUCGAAAGUGUGGGUAUCAAACAGGAUUAGAUACCCUGGUAGUC